CAGUGACCCUCGCCGUGGAAAGUGGGCGCCUAGAUUAAGCGAACAGCAACGCCGCCCAAAGCCUACAGGAGGUUACCGAAGACUACGACUCCGCGGCUAAAGGGAAUGACAAGCCUGCUGAAAAUGCCGUUGAGAGUAUCGGGCAGUAUGGAAGCGAGCAGUGAGUGCCUCGAUUCAGCAGGAUCCCAGGCUGUCUCCGUGCUCAGGCAAAGCCGCGGAAAUACUGGUAAGACCGAAGCGAGCAGCGAUGCGUCGUCACAAGUGACGUGAGGUUACCGAAAACAAGCGACGCGACCAGGAGCAGGAGGACGCGCCUGCCGAGAGCCGUGGCCGGAAACGUCGGGCAACACGUGAGCGAGCAGCCGUUGUGUUCGACGUCACAGGCCGAUGGUGACGGUGGCACCCUUGCUGUGGAAACAGAGGGAGCG